rnacentral:lncRNA from 1 species
GGGCAGACGUGAGGGCGGGCGGGAGCGGCGCCCCGCUGACCCAGAGGACUGUGGGCUCGGGGCUUUGCUGUGUUACACAAGCCCGCCCAGGAGGGACGCUCAGUGCUGGCGCUUGCUGUUGCUGCUUUCCAUCUCCGCGCUUCUCCCCGCUGUCACCCGGACCCGCUCCGCAACAG